rnacentral:lncRNA from 1 species
UCGAUACCAUCUAUGCCCUUCCAUACAUCCUAUACAUCCCCAAGUCACACUUUGCUCACCUCCCUUGAUCAUGCACAACUCACUCUAGGGCCAUAAAAUUCAUCACCACUUCACACACCUUCUUUCUGUCUCCCAAAAUCUUCCACAUAAGUUCCACUUCACUCUCAAUCUACCCCUAUAAAAGUGACCCUUCACUCACUCAUUACACACACAUAAAAAUCCCUAGUAAAACUCUGCAUAAAAUCCCUCUAAACCUUAUCACCAAAGUUUAGGGCUAUCCCCUACACAACACCAGAAGACAAAAGAAGGAGAAGAGGAAUUUAGAAGAAGUGAGUAGAAUAAGAGGACACAUCAAAUGAAGAAGGAGAAUAUUAGAGUUACAUACCUGAAGGUUGGAGGCUUCGCCGAAGUUCUCGUAGGAAAAUUGGAAAUUCCAAUUUUCGGCAAGGUGUCUUUCUCCAUUAUUUUCAUAUCUAUUUACCUAUUUCCUUGCACAUAUGUUAUUCUAAUGCUUUAAAUUACUUUAAUAUGUUGUAAUUUGUGAAAAAUCAUUGAAAAAAAGGGGUUAGGAUUUUGUUUGGGAAUAAAGUUGACAUGCUUUGAUUAUGUUUGUUUUGGUUAUUUGGUUGUUGAAUUCGCGUUAAGAAGAAAAAAUGGAGGGGGAUUUGUGUUGUUAGAUUUCAAUUUGGGUGAGUUUGGGCCGGAACUUGGAAAUCAAGAAGAUGAACAUUCAUAUGUUCAUCUUCAGUUCUUCCCCGACCACCGUACUAGAUCUAAAAAAGUUAAAAAUAAAUAUUGAGACUGUGUUUGUGGUUGAAGAGAGAGGAGAGAACAAUCUGAAGAGAGAGGGAAAAAAUGAAAAAAUGACUCACAUAGACUACAUCCCGCACAUCUCUAUCCCUCAGAUUGGAUGACUUUGGCCUUUGACUAUGGGACCCCACCAUGAUCAUAUGCGCCUUCUUUUUCCAGCCAUUAGAUAAAGACUAAUUUCAUAGCAUAUUGAUCAGACACAUGAGGAUGAGUCAACAUUUUUUACUCCAUUGGCCAUGUUGAUCGGGCCAGACGCCCUUUGGGCCUUGCCGCGCCCUGGCCAAUUGCUAUUCGCCCCCUUGUUUUUUGCUACGUUAUUUAUUUUAUUAUUUUGGUGGUGUGCCUUUAGCCAAUGUUAUCUUUCUUUUCCUUAUUUAGCACACCUUUGUCAUUACCAUGCACACCUCCCAUUUAUUUUUUUAUUAUUUGUUUUAUUUUUAUAACUUGAUUAGUUAUUUUUUUAAUAAUUAAAAACAACACAUCUUGAAAAUAAAAACUCUUGAUUAAUAUUAAGAUUAUCAAAUUCGAACCUUUUUACCAAAAAUCAAAUCAUUUUUCAAAACAAAGCGAAUAAGAAAAUCUUGAUCUUAACAAGUUCUUUUCUUCAAAUUUAAUCGCUUCAUAAACUCUUUUUCGCAAUAAACAAACUUAUAUUUUUUGCGAGAAUUUAGAUGAUGGUCAUACUUAGCCAACCAUUCAAGUACUCGUCAUCCACUCAAAAACAUACUCAACCAAACAAACUUAUAUUUUUCUCGCCCCGUGCAAUCGAAAUCCUUUCCACAAAUGGACGGUGUCUUAUCCAUUAUACCGUGAUACAAAUAAACGCUUAAGUCAUUCCUGCGCGAGAAUACAAACAACGUUUAACCACUAGAAUGAGACCUAAACAUUUGUUCACUAAAAUCAACCAACAAAUACAUGGUUUUUUAAAUCAAAAACUACAUAACUUUGUCUUGUAGGAUACGUAGGAGCGAGAUUCAACGUCUCGUCAAUCACUACAACAAAAAACCUAAAAAUAUCUUUGUCUUGUCCAGAACUACGUAAUUUUGAAUUCCUCAUCGCAUCUGAGGACACGUAUGAGCAAGACUCACAAUCUUGUCAAACACCCUAAUAAAAAACUUAGUUUUAGUCCUUUUCUUUUUCCUUUCAUUUUUAAUAACUUGAAGAAAACAAAUAAACGAAAGCUAACAUUCUAUUCGCAAAUCUAACUAAAUGGUUCUCGUUGAAUACAACGAAUGUGAGGGGUACUAAUAUCUUCCUCUUGUAUAAUCGACUCCCAAACUCGAAUUUAGUUGUGAUGACCAUUUCUUUUUAUUUUAAGAGUUUUAUCGAUAUUUUUUAUUUUCUUUUAAAAUAAAUAAAAUUCAAUAACAUCUCUAUUAUCAUCUUGAACGUGCGAACGUCCAUGACCAUUUUUUAUGCGGGGACAGUUGCCGGAACGUAUUACAUUUCUAGACAAUCUGAAUUGCACGCUUUCUCAAAAUCCAUUUAAAAUAUUAAGCAUUAUUUUUCAUUCAUGGAUCCUCUUGGCUAUUAAAUCACCACACCAUCCUAUCAAUAAAGUAUCUCUCUAUAAUAAAAGUGGAUUGAUUCAGUGAAUGAGAUAAUCCAACUUAUCUGCCAACACUUUACCCAUCAACUUAUAGCCAUUAUUAUUAGGAAACAUAAAUAAGAUUUACAAUAAAAAUUUUGCUACAGCUUGUAUGAUAUUUUUUGAAUCAAAAAUAAUAUUUCUACACUUAGGUACAUAUAUCUUUAUCUUCAACAUGAAAAUGAAAUCAAUUUUUUUCCUAUCAUCUUUCUAAAGUAGAUAAAUAUUAAAUAUAACAUCUCAGUAAGACAUCUUAGUUUUUUUAAUAAAUUAAGACAAUUUAAUUGAUAAUCGUACAAAAUAUCAAAUAUAGAAAUACAAAUUCGAACCUACCAUAUUUCACUUAAAAUAAAAUCUCAACCACUAAACAACUCACGAAAAAAAUAAUGGAAAGUUCAAAUUAAUAUGGCUUUAAAUUUCACUUAUUUCCUUUAUGAGUGAAAUCCAUGGUCAAAAAGUGGGAGCAUCACACGUUAGUAUGGUAUAGAAGUAACAUGCCCAUAAUUUGAUAUUUAAGGUAAGCAUAUAAUUAACCCCAUGUUAAGAUACUUACAUGAGAUCUAUUGUCGAUCUUAGACAUUUUUUCUUGCGUGACACAUUAAACCUCACAACCUUUUCAACAUUUAUGUCAUAAAUAACAAACACAAAACUCAUAAUAAUCAAUCAAAGAAAUCUAAGUUACUGAAAUUGAGUAGACAAAAUGAAAUGCAUUAUCCAUUUUCAAAACCUUAAAAAGGUUAUUAAAACACAUGUAAUGAGAAAUUAACCAACCACAUGUGCAUGGUAAUGCAUGGUCUAAUUAAAGCACAAUUUUAUAACAACAAAAGAAACAUGAAAUGUUACAUCAAAUUAAAGCUACAACUUAAUCAUCAUCAAAUGAUAUCACUAACUAGAAAUUGAUAGAUAGAUAGUCUUAGAAGGUGAAGAGAAGAUCUUAAUUUUAGGUCUUACUAUCUUCGAUCUUAAACAUGAAUCAAAAAGUCAAUUGUAUUUGAGUCGAAUUUAAACCAAAUACAUUUGACUUUUUGUUUAUAUUUAAGAUAGAAGAGAGUAGUUUUUACUAUUAACCAGGAAAGUCAAUUCCCGAACCUUAAUCCUCUCAGUCCUCAAUCGUUCUGAAAAGGAAAAUCUUGCAAGGUGCGCUCUUGACUUCUCCCCAUCCUUUUUUUUAUAUAAACUUCACUUCCUUACCCUACUCUUUAUCCAAAAUGCAAUGCAUACUCUUUGCCCUUCUUCUGAACCGCACAAAAAUGAACAAAAGUUAAGACACCAUCACGAUACAGAGAGCUAGAACUAAAAGUUUACAUCAAAAUCGUAAUGAAAUUAUUAACGGUAGCAACAAAAUCUAAAAAUUUUGGAACAAAAGUUAAGGUGGACUAUCGCACAAAAUCUAAAAAUUUUAACGAUUAAAUCGUGGUUGAAAAGGGCCUAAAACUUAAGACGGCCGUGUUCAUAUAGUAUGCAUACCUUAAUUAUGUUACAAUAAUUAGAUAACUUGAUGGUCAAGCAACUUCACCAGACAAAGAAGCUUUGAUCCUCUCAACGGUACACGCAAUGAGAUUAUUAACGGUAGCAACAGAUCCAAGAGAAAGUUUUGCUGUUGGAACAGAAUCAACCAAUAUUUGAAAUGCAACAGUCAAUAGAGAACCACCACCACCACCACCAUGACCACCACUUUCACCACCACCGUUUCCUCCUCCAUUUGUUGUUCCGUCCGGUAAUAUAGCAAAUCCGGAUGGAAGAAGUGCAACAUAAUCAGGAUCACCUCCAUUUAGAACCACAUUCAUCGCAACUAUGUCCACAGGUGCAUAUAUAACAAAUGAUCCUGUUGUGUCUGUGCAACUCUCUUGUAAUAUCAACAUGUUGCUUUGGCUUGAAUUUGCACUCUACAUGUCACAUAUGAAGAAAAAAAAAUUAAUAUAGUUUUUUCAUAAGAAAUUUAAAUAACUAAAUGUGGCAUGAAUUCAACAUACGUUCACUCGAAGUAGCGAAACACAGUUUCCAGUAUCUCUUCCAUUAGCAAUAUGUGCCAUUUCUUGAACAACUCCACCAUUAGAAAGGAUAUCCCACUGUUUUGUUUUCAAGAGGCUCAAAAUGUUAGAUGAAUCAUAUUAUAAAUAUAAAUAAAUGUUACAUUACAUGAUUAAAUAACAAUUUGACAAUAAUGUGUAUAAAGUGAGAUGACAUAGGGAACAAAAUUUCAUGCAAAAGUUUAUUAGAGUCUUCAUGAAAAAGUGGAGUAGGUGUCACACUUUCUUUAGCAAAUUGAAAAAGAUGUAUUUAUGCAAAAUUCAAAGAAGAUAGCUAGAGAGAUGAAACUAGACGUAUAUGCUUACAUAAAAUCAUACAAGAUGACAUAAUAUGAACUUAGUAUAGGAUAUAUGCAUCAUACAUUAACCCAAAGAAAUUUUACUUAAUCAAGAAUAAUCUAACAACCUAUCAUCAUGCAAUAAUGUGACCUAAAAGUUUAAGAUUAGAUAAUGAUUGGUGCAUAAUUGUUUUCUUAAUUACCUCACUUCUUGAGUUUUCAUCUCUCAGAAAUUCAAAAACUCUCUUUGGUGAAACUGGGAGCCAAAAAGAAGUUGCGGCACUAAGAACAAUGCCGGCUGGUCUUCCGGGAUCGUCCACGCUCUUACGGGUCAUGAC